UCCGUAGGUGGAUAAUUAAGUCAGAGGUGAAAUCCUGCAGCUCAACUGUAGAAUUGCCUUUGAUACUGGUUAUCUUGAGUCAUUAUGAAGUGGUUAGAAUGUGUAGUGUAGCGGUGAAAUGCAUAGAUAUUACACAGAAUACCGAUUGCGAAGGCUGAUCACUAAUAAUGUACUGACACUGAGGGACGAAAGCGUGGGGAGCGAACAGGAUUAGAUACCCUGGUAGUCC
rnacentral:rRNA from 1 species